UGCAUAUCAAAAAGCUGAGGAAAAGAAACCAACAGGGAUUGCCUUAGUAACGGCGAGUGAAGCGGCAAAAGCUCAAAUUUGAAAUCGGCCACCAGGUCGAGUUGUAAUUUGUAGAUUGUAUCUUGAGAGCGGAUUAAAGUCUGUUGGAACACAGCGCCUUAGAGGGUGACAGCCCCGUAAAAUCUAUUCUCAUUGUAAGAUACUUUCGAAGAGUCGAGUUGUUUGGGAAUGCAGCUCUAAGUGGGAGGUAAAUUCCUUCUAAAGCUAAAUAUUGACGAGAGACCGAUAGCGAACAAGUACUGUGAAGGAAAGAUGAAAAGCACUUUGAAAAGAGAGUGAAAAAGUACGUGAAAUUGUUAAAAGGGAAGGGUAUUGAAUCAGACUUGGUGCUGUUGUUCAACUGUGUUUCGGCAUAGUGUACUCAGCAGUACUAGGCCAAGGUGGGGUGUUUGGGAGUGAAAAAGAAGUUGGAACGUAACUCUUCGGAGUGUUAUAGCCUACUUUCAUAGCUCCUCAGGCGCCUCAGGACUGCGCUUCGGCAAGGACCUUGGCAUAAUGAUUCUAUACCGCCCGUCUU
rnacentral:rRNA from 1 species